rnacentral:rRNA from 1 species
CCUACGGGAGGCUGCAGUGGGGAAUAUUGGACAAUGGGCGAAAGCCGGAUCCAGCCAUGCCGCGUGUGUGAAGAAGGCCUUCGGGUUGUAAAGCACUUUCAGUGGGGAAGAAAGCCUUGGGGCUAAUACCCUCGAGGAAGGACAUCACCCACAGAAGAAGCACCGGCUAACUCCGUGCCAGCAGCCGCGGUAAUACGGAGGGUGCGAGCGUUAAUCGGAAUUACUGGGCGUAAAGCGCGCGUAGGCGGUCUGAUAAGCCGGUUGUGAAAGCCCCGGGCUCAACCUGGGAACGGCAUCCGGAACUGUCAGGCUAGAGUGCAGGAGAGGAAGGUAGAAUUCCCGGUGUAGCGGUGAAAUGCGUAGAGAUCGGGAGGAAUACCAGUGGCGAAGGCGGCCUUCUGGACUGACACUGACGCUGAGGUGCGAAAGCGUGGGUAGCAAACAGGAUUAGAUACCCCGGUAGUC